AGCGAACGUUUGCGGCGGGCUUAACACAUGCAAGUCGAACGAGAAUCCCUUCGGGGAGGAAAGUGGCGCACGGGUGCGUAACACGUGGAUAACCAACCCAUUGGUUUGGGACAACACCGGGAAACUGGUGCUAAUACCAGAUGUGCCGCAGCUGUCUUCAGGCGGUUGCGAGAAAGGCCCGCAAGGGUCGCCAACGGACGGGUCCGCGUCCCAUCAGCUAGUUGGUGAGGUAAUGGCUCACCAAGGCAAAGACGGGUAGCUGGUCUGAGAGGAUGAUCAGCCACACUGGAACUGAGACACGGUCCAGACUCCUACGGGAGGCAGCAGUGGGGAAUAUUGCGCAAUGGGCGAAAGCCUGACGCAGCCACGCCGCGUGAGCGAUGAAGGUCUUCGGAUCGUAAAGCUCUGUGGGGGGAGAAGAAGAAAGCCGGUGAAGAGCCGGCCUGACGGUAUCCCCUUAGCAAGCACCGGCUAACUCCGUGCCAGCAGCCGCGGU
rnacentral:rRNA from 1 species